rnacentral:rRNA from 1 species
AUGGAGGUGGAGCCAAACCCAUUUAUCGUGUUUGAUAUCACGGAUUGGUCCGAGCUCCCACUCGAUGCGCUUUCUGCAAUCUUCAUGAAGCUUGGGACCAUUGAGAUUCUUAUGGGAGCGGGACUUGUGUGCCGCUCAUGGCUGGUGGCAGCCAAGUCCCCUGAGUUGUGGCGUUUUGUGGACAUGACACGCCACAAGGUGGUUUUCUCAAAGGCGGAAAAGGUCAUGUGCAGAAUGGCAAAAGUGGCUAUAGAUCGCUCCGAUGGAUGGGUGGAAUCGUUCUGGGCUUAG